rnacentral:rRNA from 1 species
CGAGCACGCGCGUGUGGCAUAUCAAUAAGCGGAGGAAAAGAAACUAACAAGGAUUCCCUUAGUAACGGCGAGUGAAGCGGGAAGAGCUCAAAUUUGAAAUCUUCAAGGUUCUACCUUGACGAAUUGUAGUUUAUAGAAGUGUUUUCUGUUAGUAGGAGUGGCAAAAGUUCUUUGGAAUAGGACAUCAUAGAGGGUGAGAAUCCCGUAUUUGGUCAUUCCUCCUAGCGUUGUGAUACACUUUCAACGAGUCGGAUUGUUUGGGAAUGCAGUCCAAAAUGGGUGGUAAAUUUCAUCUAAAGCUAAAUAUUGGCGAGAGACCGAUAGCGAACAAGUACCGUGAGGGAAAGAUGAAAAGAACUUUGAAAAGAGAGUUAAACAGUACGUGAAAUUGUCAAAAGGGAAGCGUUUGACACCAGUGUUGUUUUUCCGAAAAUCAAUUACGAAUGUUUUAUUUUUGAGGAGUUAUGACUUCAUCGGCUUGCUCCUUUCUUUAUGAAACUUUCUUAAUGCACUUUUCGGUUAACAAGUCAACAUCAAUUUCUUUUGUUGUAAAAGGGUAUGAGGAAGGUGGCUUUCUUUUCGGAGAAAGUGUUUAUAGCCUUGUACCUCUGCAAUCGGAGAGAUUGAGGUCUGCAGCGUAGAUCCUUCGGGGUUAGAUACAUUUGUGCUAAGUUAUAGCUUUUCAUAGACAACUUGUUGACUAUGUUAAGUCUUGUAGCUUACUCGCUGAUGCUAUUUUACCUACGCUUAGGAUGUUGAACUCUAUCACACACAG